rnacentral:rRNA from 1 species
GAUGAACGCUGGCGGCGUGCCUAAUACAUGCAAGUCGAGCGAACAGACGAGGAGCUUGCUCCUCUGACGUUAGCGGCGGACGGGUGAGUAACACGUGGAUAACCUCCCUAUAAGACUGGGAUAACUUCGGGAAACCGGCGCUAAUACCGGAUAAUAUAUUGAACCGCAUGGUUCAAUAGUGAAAGACGGUUUUGCUGUCUCUAAUAGAUGGAUCCGCGCCGCAGUAGCUAGUUGGUAAGGUAACGGCUUACCAAGGCAACGAUGCGUAGCCGACCUGAUAGGGUGAUCGGCCACACUGGAACUGAGACACGGUCCAGACUCCUACGGGAGGCAGCAGUAGGGAAUCUUCCGCAAUGGGCGAAAGCUUGACGGAGCGACGCCGAGUGAGUGACGAAGGUCUUCGGAUCGUAAAACUCUGUUAUUAGGGAAGAACAAAUGUGUAUGUAACUAUGCACGUCUUGACGGUACCUAAUCAGAAAGCCACGGCUAACUACGUG